rnacentral:rRNA from 1 species
AAUGAAUACACAGUGGAAACUGCGAACGGCUCAUUCAAACAGUUAUAGGUUAUUUGAUAUUUCGGAUACUUCCAAUAUGGAUACCCGAUAGUAAUUCUAGGGCUAAUACAUGCGUUACGGGGGACUUCACGGAACCCCAGUAUUAUUAGAUAUUUUCAAACCAUCAUUCCGCAAGGUCUACUGAGAUGAUUCAUGAUAACUAGUCGAAUGCCGGUUUCUACCGGCAUAUGUCAUUCAUGUUUCUGCUUCCCAUCAGCUUGAUUGUAGUGUAUUGGACAACAAUGGCAUUCACGGGCAACCGGGGGAUUAGGGUUCGAUUCCGGAGAGGGAGCCUGGUAAACGGCUACCACUUCUACGGAAGGCAGCAGGCGCGAAAAUUAUCCAAUCCUGACUCAGGGAGGUAGUGAGACAAAUAACGAACUGGGAUUAUUUUAUCCUGGGAUCGCAAUGGGCUUGAUUUGCAAACUUGAUAUUAGCGAGGAACAAUUGGAGGGCAAGUCUGG